rnacentral:rRNA from 1 species
AUGGAAAUGACCCCUGAAUUAUUGUAUGGACAAAAUGUAUAUGUUCCAACUGCUGUAAAUUCCUAUACAUAUGGUUAUGCAGUUGGAUCACCUAUGGAUUGGUAUAACCAUCAGAACUCUCUAGGAUAUGAUGCUCAAGAUGUUUAUUUUCCGGCUUUCCAGACUGACGGCACACAGUGUGUUUACUAUGCUACCCCUGACAAUGGAUCAGUUCAUCCUUCCUACAGCCCUUACCCUAUGGAUCCUGGUUACAUAGUUGAUGGAUCUUAUCUGCCACAAGAAUAUGUCCCUGACACUGACCCUACAUGCCAAGUAGUUCCCUCAUCUUAUUACAUUCCAUCUGUUCUUCCUUAUGCAGUCGAUAGUGUCCUAGGAAUCACUGCCACAUCUCUCCACCCAUCUAGUGUUGCAUUCAUUCCAAGCAUGCCAGCUUAUGCUGUAACAUCCACAAAUCAUGUGUUACCUUUGAUGGCUCUUGUUGCCCCGAAAAAUGAUGUUGUCGUGAAUCCGCCUGUACAAUCAACAAUUGUCUCUUCAAAGCAGUUUCAGAAUCACUCAAUGAUACCAAUUGUUCAGUUGCAUAACUCACUUCCAAUGAAGCAAGAGCUGGGAAAUGGGUCCAUGGUGUCUGUUAAACCUCUUCAUACCCCACAGGCACCUACAAAUGUGCUUGACAGUCCAAUGGCUGCUGCCAAGCAUUCACCAAAGGCAAAAUUAUCUGGAAAUGAUUGUUUUGCAUGUGUCGGAUCUGAUCCUCAGAAGUGGGCUUCAGCUGAGAAAUUUCAGCCUACUUCAAAGUCGAGUGGUCAACUAAAGGCACAUGGCUCUAGUAAUGCGGAGAAACAUAGCGGCCAAAGGUCACCAGCCAUAGUUGCAAAAUCCUACACGUCAAGGCUGAUUGUUGGGAACUCAGAUGGGACAAUCCUUAUAAGAUCUGACCAAUACAACGGUAAUGACCUCCGAGUGGACAAUCCCUAUGCAAAGUUCUUUGUUAUCAAGUCAAUUGGUGAGGCGGAUAUCCACAAAUCAAUUAAGUAUGGUGUAUGGUCUAGUUCCUCCAGUGGAAAUAGCAAGCUGGAUUGCGCAUAUAGGGAUGCUGACCGAAUAGCUAAGCGGAAUUCUACAAAGUGUCCAGUUUUUCUGUUCUUUUCUGUGAAUGGUAGCGGGCACUUUUGUGGCUUGGCCGAGAUGGUUGGUCCUGUAGAUUUUCAUAAGGACAUGGACUUCUGGUGCCAGGAUAAAUGGACUGGUUGCUUUCCUGUAAGAUGGCAUAUAAUCAAAGACGUACCUAACUAUACUUUGCAGAAUAUCUUGCUUCAGAAUAAUGAAAAUAAGCCUGUCACACACAGCAGAGAUACCCAAGAGGUCCCAUAUGUUCCUGGAAUAUCUGUGCUCAAGAUCUUGAAGGAUAUCAAAGUGAAGGAGUGCCUAUUUGACGAUUUUAUGAGAUACGAGGAAGAUGAAGCAAGAAUUAAGCAGCGUAGAUGGUCCAAGUUGAGUCACAAUGCUCCAGAUUUUGUGCCUGUCUCACAGCGUAAGAGCGAUGCCUCAGAUCUUCAGCUGCCAAAAUUUGGUGGUGUGCUGAUAGACAGAACAUUGGAGAUACAGAACAUGUCAGAGAAGCCACAUGAUUGUAAUGGCAUCAAACGACAGGAUGCUGUUGAAAAACAAGUUGGUAUUGAGGCUGGGAAAGAAAAUGGGCAUCAAGAAAACCGUUGUUAUGGCAAGCAGGAUAAUGAAAAAGCGCCUAGAUCUUCAACUAGCCAGCCACAAACUUCAACCUUGAAAAUGAGCAUGGAUGGGAAGCAACAAUACUGGAAGAAGGUGGAAAACCCUAAACCGAAUCCUGAUGGUGCUGGACAUGGAUCGUCAAAAUUGAAUGAGAACGGAGUUAAUAUUAGCUCGGCAAUUGUCAGAUUGGAGGCACCUGAAGAUGAUUCAAUUGUUGCGAAAGUUGGUUCUCUUACAAUCAGUUCAAAGACAAGGAAGGCUGAAGAUAAGAGUCCCUUGGUUGAUGUUGUGACCAUUGGCUCGUUGCCAAUCCGGGUCAACAAAUCUGUUGCGUAG